AUGUCCGACCGGAGUAACGGGACCACCGCCACGGCGUUCGCCAGCAACGGCCUCACCGUCGAGGUGUCGUUCUGGUUCGCCGCCCCGCCGGCCCUCUCCUACUUCACCGUCCACUGCCGCGGCCUCGACGAGCAGAACAGCCUCGCCCGGGAGCCAUGCCUCGUCUGCUCGGACGAGUACGUCGCCAUCCUCAGCAUCGACUUCACAUACACAUACCGGGGCCGCAAGAGGAUCCGCCGUGACUACUUCGUCUACACGGCCAUCCCGGAUGGCCCCUCGCUCGUGCGGCUACCGAACCCGUUCCUCAUCAAGUUCGAUCCCCGGACGAUGGGCCUCCUGCGCACGGCCGACGGCGAAGGGUUCGUCGUCGCGGUUCUCUCCCCGCAGCUGAUCAUCCCGGGCAGCUAUGAUCUCCUCAUCUUCUCGUCCAAACAGUUGGGGUGGAUCGUCAAGACUGUGCAGCUGCAGCCAAAGUCGCCGACGGAGGAUCAUCAGACCUUCACGAUCGACAAGGUCAUCGCCCUUCCGGAGGAAGGUUCGCUGGGCUGGGUUGAUCUCUGGAGGGGUAUCCUUGUCUGCAACGUGCUCGACCUGCAGGAACUCAGCCCCGUGCUGCGCUUCAUACCGCUGCCCGAGCCAAUGGCCGCCAACAUGAACAUGGUCGACGAUGAAAACGAAAACUGUGCGUGGCUGCAUCGCGAUGUCGCCUACGUCGACGGCUUGAUCAGGUUUGUCGAGAUCGAAACGCGGAGAAGCAUCACCACUCGUGGCCCCAAUGCCAUCAGAAAUAUGCUGAUUUAUGCAGACUUGGAGUUGGACAGUGCAAACACCUCCGUCUGCCAUGGUUGGAUGGCCAUCGCAUGGGUCAGGAAGCCUUCUUCGGAUGCUUGGAUCAAAGACUGUGAGGCCGACGUCGAUGAUAUCAACAUCGACAACCCAAGAUAUUCCAGCUUGCCUGAGCUGAGGGGCAGCUACUCUGGGAAAUUAACACUGAAGAACCUCAUUACAGCUAACCCAACCUUGGGCAUGCAUGGUAGCGAUGUCGUUGUCUAUCUCAUCUCCAAGGUGAAGAUCCACCACGAAAACGCCUGGAUAGUUGCGAUCAACAUGACAAGCAAGACCUUGGAAGACAUGGCCUCAUUUUCUUCGGAAAGAACAUUCGGUUUCGGUAUAGGAUGCCGUCCCUGCGCAUUCUUCAGACAUCUGGACAUGACAGCAGAUCAUGGCGAAGCUGGUUUGCUGACCAAAACAAGUGAAAACUCUAGUGCAUACACAACAGUCCUUGUAAGUGGGCUGGAUCCAUGUGUUACCGAGGACGAGCUGAGGCAAAUCCUUGCUCCGUAUGGAGAACUUCAUGACAUGAAGAUGCUUCAAGAUCAGCGAUCCGCGGUAGUCAAAUUCGUCGACAGGUUGUGCGCCGAGAACGCCAUAUGCGAACUGAAUUUCACAACGCUUGGUUCCGAGUACCCUCUUCGCCUUAAACGGGAACACGUCGACUCUCCAAGCGGGCAGCGAAAGGCCAAACGGGAUGCAGAGAGACCUCGUCCGUAUCCGGAGUAUUAUGGUGCCGACAGUUGGGAUGUUACCAUGGUAGAUGCUGACGGCAACAGGAAGAGGCCCUAUGAUACUUCGGCCGAAGCUGUUGCUAGAGGAGGUUAUGCUCGGCUAGGGUUAUUUGGAUGCGGUGUUCUGCCCUUGCCACGACUACCGGUGCCUCCGAGGCCUCCGCAAGAUCUGAAACGCACAAAGACUGGUGCUAAUGGUUAA
rnacentral:rRNA from 1 species